GAUGAACGCUGGCGGCGUGCCUAAUACAUGCGAGUCGAGCGAACAGACGAGGAGCUUGCUCCUCUGACGUUAGCGGCGGACGGGUGAGUAACACGUGGAUAACCUACCUAUAAGACUGGGAUAACUUCGGGAAACCGGAGCUAAUACCGGAUAAUAUAUUGAACCGCAUGGUUCAAUAGUGAAAGACGGUUUUGCUGUCACUUAUAGAUGGAUCCGCGCCGCAUUAGCUAGUUGGUAAGGUAACGGCUUACCAAGGCAACGAUGCGUAGCCGACCUGAGAGGGUGAACGGCCACACUGGAACUGAGACACGGGCCAGACUCCUACGGGAGGCAGCAGUAGGGAAUCUUCCGCAAUGGGCGAAAGCUUGACGGAGCAACGCCGCGUGAGGGAUGAAGGUCUUCGGAUCGUAAAACUCUGUUAUUAGGGAAGAACAAAUGUGUAAGUAACUAUGCACGUCUUGACGGUACCUAAUCAGAAAGCCACGGCUAACUACGUG
rnacentral:rRNA from 1 species